UUCCCUUUCUAAUCAUUUUUUCUUUUCCCUUCCUUCCUAUUUGUCUCCAUAAAUAUUGAAAAAGGCAUUUCCACUGCCAUUUUUCUACUGUCCCUUUUCAUUUUGGGUCAUCCUUUGCAUGGUUAAUAAAGGGAAUGAUUAUUUGAUUUUUCAUUUUUAUUGAUACUGACACUUGAAUCAACUUCCCAAUUUUUGUUGCUUCUUCUUCAUGAAUUGAUGCGUCCCAAUCAAUUAGCAAAUGAGGUAUUGGAUGUUAUAUAUAUAUAGGUUUAUAAUCCUUCCCCUACAAGUUGAAGGUAAAAUUAAAUAAGUUCAUAUUAUUUGAUAUCAUAGUCUCACCUUAUCUAAUUGGUAGAUCAUUAUCCUAAUUUUUUAUUCGAGAACGUACAGUUUAAAAAGAUCAAAGAUGAUACGUCUCAAUCAAUUAGUAAAUAAAGUCUUAAGUAUUAUAUAUAUGGAUUUAUAACCUUCUCCUUACAAACUGAUUUUUAAGGUAAAAUCAGUUCAUAGACUGAUUUCCAAUUUUAUUAAAAUAAUGACUUUAAAAAAGUCAAUUAAGCUAUUUAUUGGAGUACAUAUCCAGCUAGUGCCACUAGUAUACUACACAACAUAAAUUUCUGAGCUAAUAAAAUAUUUUCAAAUUGAAAAAUGGAUAUAAAAUCAGGUUAAUUAAGUCUGUAAAUUUGUAUCGCCCUAUAAGAACAAAAGGCAAAUAAUAAAAUUCAGAAACACAGACUCCUCAUUAAGGAGUAGAAGUUACACAAGAAACCAACAAAUGGCCUUGGGGGGGCAUGCAUUUAUCAAAGGCAACAUGAAAUGGGUAUUUGUGUGUGGCAAAGCUAGAAAUGAGCUAAACAGCAGGCAGUAAAUGCAAACGUGCAUGUAGUAAAUACCCAAGCAUGCUAAGAUUAAAUGCUUCAAUAUGGGUUCCACAUGCAACUUUCUAUAUAAUAUUGUUAAAUUUUUCAUAAGAUAUCAAAGAACCCUUACAUUGAAU
rnacentral:misc_RNA from 1 species